rnacentral:tRNA from 1 species
UGUGGUAAGGUGUUUUGCACGUUGUGUUUUGAUCACAGAGGGGAUUUUAGUUUCUACUACUU